rnacentral:rRNA from 1 species
GAAUCCAUAGGUUAAUGAGGCGAACCGGGGGAACUGAAACAUCUAAGUACCCCGAGGAAAAGAAAUCAACCGAGAUUCCCCCAGUAGCGGCGAGCGAACGGGGAGCAGCCCAGAGCCUGAAUCAGUAUGUGUGUUAGUGGAAGCGUCUGGAAAGGCGCGCGAUACAGGGUGACAGCCCCGUACACAAAAAUGCACAUGCUGUGAGCUCGAUGAGUAGGGCGGGACACGUGGUAUCCUGUCUGAAUAUGGGGGGACCAUCCUCCAAGGCUAAAUACUCCUGACUGACCGAUAGUGAACCAGUACCGUGAGGGAAAGGCGAAAAGAACCCCGGCGAGGGGAGUGAAAAAGAACCUGAAACCGUGUACGUACAAGCAGUGGGAGCACGCUUAGGCGUGUGACUGCGUACCUUUUGUAUAAUGGGUCAGCGACUUAUAUUCUGUAGCAAGGUUAACCGAAUAGGGGAGCCGAAGGGAAACCGAGUCUUAACUGGGCGUUAAGUUGCAGGGUAUAGACCCGAAACCCGGUGAUCUAGCCAUGGGCAGGUUGAAGGUUGGGUAACACUAACUGGAGGACCGAACCGACUAAUGUUGAAAAAUUAGCGGAUGACUUGUGGCUGGGGGUGAAAGGCCAAUCAAACCGGGAGAUAGCUGGUUCUCCCCGAAAGCUAUUUAGGUAGCGCCUCGUGAAUUCAUCUCCGGGGGUAGAGCACUGUUUCGGCAAGGGGGUCAUCCCGACUUACCAACCCGAUGCAAACUGCGAAUACCGGAGAAUGUUAUCACGGGAGACACACGGCGGGUGCUAACGUCCGUCGUGAAGAGGGAAACAACCCAGACCGCCAGCUAAGGUCCCAAAGUCAUGGUUAAGUGGGAAACGAUGUGGGAAGGCCCAGACAGCCAGGAUGUUGGCUUAGAAGCAGCCAUCAUUUAAAGAAAGCGUAAUAGCUCACUGGUCGAGUCGGCCUGCGCGGAAGAUGUAACGGGGCUAAACCAUGCACCGAAGCUGCGGCAGCGACGCUGAUGCGUUGUUGGGUAGGGGAGCGUUCUGUAAGCCUGCGAAGGUGUGCUGUGAGGCAUGCUGGAGGUAUCAGAAGUGCGAAUGCUGACAUAAGUAACGAUAAAGCGGGUGAAAAGCCCGCUCGCCGGAAGACCAAGGGUUCCUGUCCAACGUUAAUCGGGGCAGGGUGAGUCGACCCCUAAGGCGAGGCCGAAAGGCGUAGUCGAUGGGAAACAGGUUAAUAUUCCUGUACUUGGUGUUACUGCGAAGGGGGGACGGAGAAGGCUAUGUUGGCCGGGCGACGGUUGUCCCGGUUUAAGCGUGUAGGCUGGUUUUCCAGGCAAAUCCGGAAAAUCAAGGCUGAGGCGUGAUGACGAGGCACU